UCAACACAGGUGGAGACAGAGAACUUGACACUAGAUGGAAAUCCAACUGAAUUAUACAUUUUCAGUUGAAUUCCCCAGCCUGCGGACAAAUCUUGGCUCUGUGGUUGGUGUGGAAUCUUCCCUGAGCAAACCAUAGAGUCGAAGCAACCAGCCAUCCAGGAAAGAAAGCUGUCAUUUUGGCCAUAAAAUCUGCCAUGAACUUAAAAACCUCAGUGGUGCAGAGUUCAAGGUAUCUCCAGAUUUCCUUAAUUGGACAUUACUCAAACUCACCUGGAAAGAAACAUGCACCGCUCAGCACAGAGGCCCGAACCCAGUGGCCAGGGGUCAUCCGAAGGAGCCUCUCCUUGAGAAGCCACAUACUGCACUGGGAACCAGGAGCCAUCAAACCAGGUCAGAAGACCUUAUCCUUAUUCCGGAUUGGCCACUGCAAGUUGUGUUACACGAAGGAGAAUCACAACCCUCCCCGCUUGGCAGACAUCAGAAUUAGAAUCAGAAAGUGCAACA